CCUACGGGAGGCAGCAGUGAGGAAUAUUGGUCAAUGGACGAGAGUCUGAACCAGCCAAGUAGCGUGAAGGAUGACUGCCCUAUGGGUUGUAAACUUCUUUUAUAUGUGAAUAAAACAGGGUAUGCAUACCCUCUUGUAUGUACCAUAUGAAUAAGGAUCGGCUAACUCCGUGCCAGCAGCCGCGGUAAUACGGAGGAUCCGAGCGUUAUCCGGAUUUAUUGGGUUUAAAGGGAGCGUAGGUGGAUUGUUAAGUCAGUUGUGAAAGUUUGCGGCUCAACCGUAAAAUUGCAGUUGAAACUGGCAGUCGUGAGUACAGUAGAGGUGGGCGGAAUUCGUGGUGUAGCGGUGAAAUGCUUAGAUAUCACGAAGAACUCCGAUUGCGAAGGCAGCUCACUGGACUGCAACUGACACUGAUGCUCGAAAGUGUGGGUAUCAAACAGGAUUAGAUACCCCAGUAGUC
rnacentral:rRNA from 1 species